CUGUAACCCAUUAAUCAUGCUAGAAUGCUGACCACGAACAAAGAGUUUCUUGUCUACAGAAGGAACCCUCUUCACUAUAUCACUUCCAAUUUCCCUUUUCACCAAGCUUAAGCCUCUCUCAUGCAAAAUUUUAAGACGAAAUGCAAAUCCAGAAAGAAAAACAUCCACGUCAUCCUCAGUAGCAAUACAUGUCAUCCCCCAACUAUUCUGAAGACUCUCCCCAAUUUU
rnacentral:misc_RNA from 1 species